UAAAAUGACAAACAUGUCUCUUUAAGACCCAAUAACUAGUAAAAUUGUCAAAUGUAAAAGGUAUCUCCAGAAAACCUCCAGGUCACUGUCAAACGUCUGGUCUGUUGAAACUCUAUCAAUCCCUUCGGUCAACAAAGAAGCUGGGAGGCUUUAAACCACACACAGCCAUCUGGCCUGGUCACUGACAGACCGACAAGUAGCCACUUUAGAUGGCAGGAUUAUUGGGCUGUGACCGCCAUGGCAGGAUGCUCAGGGGACUGUGUCCCGCCACACAGGGAACCUGAUCGGUGGGGGGUAGACUGCAAAGAGUGCUGGCCUGCAGCAGCAGAAUGGGCGCCUGGGGAGCAAGCGCUCACAAUGGGCCUCUCAGCACCCAGACAGCAACACACACAGAAUGAGGAGGACAGAGAGGGGGAGCAGGACGAGGAGAAGGAGUAUUGUUGUCACCAUACAGAUGUCCAGGUUGAAGUGUGUGGACUCCUGUGA
rnacentral:lncRNA from 1 species